rnacentral:pre_miRNA from 1 species
AAUAAGAUAGUUUUUUAGUUUUUUUAUAUAAUGUUUUGACUCUUCGUUUUAUUUAAAAUUAUUUUAUAAUUAAUAUUUUUAUUAGAUAAUAAAAUAUAAAUAGUACUUGAUGCGUAACUAAUUUUUUAAAUUUUUAUACAAAUUUUUCAAAUAAAACAAAUGCUCAAACGUUACGCACGAAAAAC